rnacentral:rRNA from 1 species
UACGUAGGGGGCAAGCGUUGUCCGGAAUCAUUGGGCGUAAAGCGCGUGUAGGCGGCUCGAUAAGUCUGCUGUGAAAGUCCAGGGCUCGACCCUGGGAUGCCGGUGGAUACUGUCGAGCUCGAGUCCGGAAGAGGUGUGUGGAAUUCCGUGGUGUAGCGGUGAAAUGCGCAGAUAUCAGGAGGAACACCAAUAGCGAAGGCAGCACACUGGUACGUGACUGACGCUGAGACGCGAAAGCGUGGGGAGCAAACAGG